rnacentral:lncRNA from 1 species
UCGCUCUGGGGCGGGGCCUCGCGGGCGGCGGCCUUGGCGACCCACCCUGCGCGGAUCUCCGGGCCCGGGCUGCGGGCGUGUGCCAGGGGAUCUCCGGCGGCCCUUGGGGAUCAGGCCUAGCGGGGCGGGAAGGCCCACAAGCAGCGCGCCCGGGAGAGCCGGUGAGACGACGGCGCGCGGCCGGCUACGCGGGGCGGGGGGCCGGGGCGGACGGAGGGCCCGGCGCGCGGCCGAAUGUGCUUGGCGCUUGGUCGUCGCCGCAUUGUCGUCUGGCGGUGGUCCCCCUGAACAGCCCGAGGCCACUAGGCUGAGCCUGGCAGACCUUUACAGAUGCCGAGAACGGCGCCCGCCUGCAGGAUGACGCGCAGUUUGCCCGGCGCCGGAUUUCGUGGCGGCGCGCGGCACCGGAGCCUCCAGGGCCCAGGGAAGGGUUGAGUGGAGACGGCGUCGGCGCGACGGUCGUGGGUCCCCAGACCGCAUGCCUUUGUGUUGGCCUGCGUGAGCGAAGGGUCACUUAGCCCUCGGUGCGCUCGGCUACGCUCGGCUAGCAGAAAGGCGUGCGUGGUUUCAGGCUGAGGCUGGAGGUGGACCUCAGCCGGGGGUUUUCAGGUUAAAGCAGUUUAUGACCUUCGGCAAGGCCAGGUUGGGAGUCCUCGUGGACGUUCCCAUCGACCUUCCCGAAUGUGCACGGGGUCUCACUGCGCGCCCCGGGCAGGCCUGGAGGCAUUCAGAAUCGUCCCGCAGAGCACUCAUUUCACUGGGUCUCAGCCACUACCCACGAGUAUUGAAAAAUAAAAUUGUUACUUGAAAAAAAUUCAUUUGUAUAAUAGAUAAACUGACAUCUUUUAAAAACUGACAUCCUGUAGUCAUGAAGAAUGGAAAUUGAAGUUUCAAUGAUAAACAGUAAAUCUCAUAAAAACACCAUCUUAAGACAGGGUCCACAUCUAUAAUAUGGAAUGUCCAACUGCAAAGUUACAGGAAAAAUGCCCCAUGGAGGCUUCCAUUUUAUAUUCUGGAUAGCUAGAUCUUAUCACUGAUUUUUGUAACACUUAAAAGAUGACCCACUUUAGGGUAAUAUUUCAUUUCUGGAAGCUUCACAUCUUUUGUGAUUUGGAGGCAUUUACCACCCCAAAUAUAAUAACCCUAGUGUAGAUGAAUUUUGAGUUUUUCCAAAUAAGUUCCAAGCAUGAUCAUUUUGCUUGAUAACCUUAAGUGAAUAAACAGCCUGCUUACUGCUAAUUUGGUAAAUAUAGUGAUAUGUUUUUCGUUUCCUCUUAGAAAUUUAGAUAACUAAGGAAAAGUCAAAGUAGGAUUGAGAAUAUUUAGAAUAGUACCUACUGAGAUAAACCUGAGACCAUUAUUUAGAUAAGAAUUUCCAAAUGGCUUUUUUAAAAUGAAUUUUUAUGUUGAAUACCACAGUCUCUUAGUUUCAUGGUCUGUUCAGUUUAGCUAGACACAGACCCCCUAAAGUUAGAUAUUAAUGUUUAAUAACUCUUUAGCCUGGAUUUAUAGGUCACCACACUCAGUCUUACAUGAGAAGGACAGACCGCUUAAGUUAGAGACAUAGGCCAGAGUUUCAUCACAGGAAAGGUCAGAAACCCAAAGGGCAUCCUUUGUGGGGAGGUUUCAACAAAUUGGUUCUGAGAGCUCAGUGCUACCACUAGUUGUGCAGUGUAGGAAAACUGAAAAAGCACAAGUUACCCCAAAUUCCUGUUGAGAUCCUUCUAGACUGUUCGAUAUAGAUGUAUUCUUCCUUUAAAAAAAGGUCACACACCAUGCAUUUCUUUUGCCCUUCAAGAGAAAAAAAAUGUCAAGAAUGGCCUUCCUUGUCUGUAAAUAAUAGAUCACUUAAUAGAUACAUGAUACUCCAUUGUUUGACUUGCUAAUGGAAAAUAACAAUUCUGCUUUGAGGAAAUAAAAAUAAUUGUUUAUUCUGAGCUAAAUAUGAAUGACCGUGCCCUAGCUAGUCAACUCCAGUUACCUGGAGAGAUGCAGCUCCCCGUGGAGAAGAUUGGGCAAGCUCUUGUAGACCACAGGAAAUAGGUGGAGUCAUCAGUAAGCAGACUGUCAAGGAGCUGGGAAACCUGCAAGAUUUGGAUGUGUUCCAGGGAAUUCAGGGGCUGUCUCCUGUCUCAUUUCCCAGCCUUAAGGUUGGGAGAGGCCACAGGUUCAUCAAGCUUAGCAUACAUUUAUCCCGUGGCCACAAAGAUGCGAAGUCAGACACCAAGGCCAACAAAAAGUGUGUUAAAAGGGUCCCAAGGUAGUCCAGUAUAGUCUUGGCUUCUUAAUGAACUCUGUGCUCCAAGAAGCUCCCAAAUAAAAGUGCAGCCCCUACAGAGAACUUCAGUUCACAGCCUUCCAUAAUUUAAUUCUGUGUUGCACAUUCACCACUUCCAGUUUAACAAUUACAAACGAUGCUUUGAUGAAGCAAAUCCUCUCAAGAUAGGAGUACAUAUAGGAUGCAGUAAAGAUAAUUUUAAAAUCUUUAAUUACUUAAUAGAUAUUUAUUGGAUUUGGGGUUACUUGCUUUAUAUGACAAAAAUGAAUAAUGUGAUACCAUCCCGUGCUUUCAGAUCAGAAACUCCCAUCCCUGAGCACAGUGCCUGAGCUCAGAGCGCAUUGGUCAAGAGGAUUUGAAUCACUGAUUCUGAACCAGGCAGGCACUUUUGAAACCCCUGAAAGAUAACACGUUUUCAUCUCCAGCCACUUGCAUUGGCCAGAACCUAGGCUCAUGACCCCAACCUCAACUGCAGGGGAGCUGGGUCUUCCUGUGUGUCUAAGAAAUGGCAUUGCCAAUUUCUGUAAUUUAUGGUUUUUAAAGAAAAAAAUCUACAAAAUAAGAUUUGAGAAUACAAAAUAAAAUGAAAGUUUUUGAAGAUAACUUUUUAAAAAAAUCCUUAAUUACUCAGUAUUUAUUGAAUUGGGGUUAUUUGUUUUAUAUGACAAAGAUUCAUAGUCUUUUUACAAAGUAAACCUCUAGGUUCAUUUUUGCAAUCGGUGUUUAUCACAGGCCUGUAACCAAUGUUGGGUAUCUUUCAUUUGACUGCCCACCCUCAGAUCUAAACUAUCCUUCACUGAUUUCUACCCUAGUAGCUGACUCAAAUAAAUUACACAAAUGGUCUCCCUGGUACUCGGGCUUGAAUUGAAUCUGACCCAUGGGGACUUCCAGCAGGAACUUGAGAACUGAGG